AACAAUGAAUAUAUCUGUUGUUUCUCUCAAAUCUAACAUGGUAUCGGAUCCAUAGGUGUAGCCAUAUCAAUCUUAAAGCUAUGGCUCUGAUAUCAUGUUGGUUUUGAAGGAAAUGACUGAUAUAUUUCAUUGUA
rnacentral:miRNA from 2 species